AUUUGCUUUGAUGUAUUUCCUGCUGCAGUUUUCCAACUGCAGCAAUUUGAGAGAACAACUUUAAACAGAUGAUAAAAUUAUUCCCUUAAUUAUUUUUUAAAUAAAAAAUAUUUUUUUAUUUUACAUUUUGGAGAGGUAAUUACACCAACAUAUAUAUAAAUGAUAAAAUUUUUAAAAGUACGCUUCUCAACCGCAUUCAACUUAACAAAUUAUUUAUAAAUAAGAUAUAUGUUGAAACAAUCGUUGUACUCUAAAAGAGUAAGUUUAUAGAGAAUGGUCUCUCCGUCGCAUCUAGCUAGGCUCCAGAUUUUUUGUAGGCUCAUAAGACUUGAAUUAAAUAGGACGAAAAAAUUAAUAAUGUUAGAAGCCUGACGUGGCUCAAACUCAGGAUUUUCUACUCUAAUACUAUGUGAAACAACCGUUGUACCCUAAAAACUUAAGCUUAUAGAGAAUGGUAUUUUAAAUAUUUUUAUAUUUUAACAACAUGUAAUAAUAACUAUUAUUUAUUCAACUACAUGCAUCUCUAACUACAUUAUAUUUAUAAUUACAUCUAACUAAAUGGCCUCUUAAAAUUGAGAAGAUAUUUUAUUUUUAACU
rnacentral:lncRNA from 1 species